rnacentral:lncRNA from 1 species
GAAAAUUGACUAUGUGAAAAGUAGUGAAGAUGUGGAACCGGUUCGCCGCUCGGUUUGACCAAGGAUACCAAACCGCAAGUAUCUCGAUUGAAGUCAACAUUUGGAGACUUUGGUUUUAUAUCUUUGUUUUUGUUUGUUUUUUUUUUGCAAAUAUGUUGAAGUGGUCUUCCACAUUAAAACGAGCCAUUCAACCACUUUCGCUAUUCCCUAAGUCGUAGGUAUCGUUAUUC